AUAUAGGAUCCGUCAAUAAUACGAAUGACAACAGGAAUAUUUUUUUUAACAGUUGCUAUUUUAUUUUUAUCUACCAGCCCUCUGUCUAUAAAUAUUCCGGAUGCUCCAGGAUCUAUGACGGCUUCAGUUGUUGGUGAUCCCACUGCAAGGAAAUAGAAAAAUAUGGCUGUCCUUGCAAAAUACUGUAUAGAACCCUUGCGCUGCUUCCAUAAGUAGGAUCAUCUGCAUCUGUUGCUGACACCUGGAUAAUAGAGAUUGUGAAUCAACAAUGAGGUCACGGAGGGCAAUGAGUCCAGAUGGAUGAAUAAGGAAUGUCGUGCUAUUCGGUCGACAUGAAAAUUGGUUUGCAAUAGGCCAGUAUCCCAGCCAAUAUGUCAAUACAUGCUUCAGUAAACGUAAAGAAAGAAGGAGAUCUUUUUGUUUGGGGCCAGGAUGACUGGGCAGGUUUACGCAUCAGCAAGCUGUGGCUUCCCUCUCAGUAGGAGUCUUCAAUAAUUGCCAGAACAAAUUAUACUGGGGCAAUCUGUCCCCUUUUUCCCUUUCAAACCAGAAAAAAAAGUGAAUGGAACUGAGAAACAACACCAAUUUCCACUGCUUACAAUGCAGCGUAGAAAUAGAUUUGAUACAGUCAGAAAGGAAUCAUGUUCCAGACAACAGUCGUAGGCCAAUGCUGGUUUCAUGGGUAAUAAUAUGGACUUGUUUUGGAGGUCUUUAAGUUUUGUGGGUUGACAGAGCAUGAAAAGCGUUUAAAUUUCUACAUGUAGCAUUAUGUUGUGCCACUUCUUUUAUCCUCUUGGUUCUUUGUAAUGGUAAAGUAAAAGUAGUAAGCGUAACCUAAUUAAAAAGUGUAGUAAUGAUUCCAGUUGUAUGUUUAGAAUAGGAACACAGCAACAUGACAUGGGACCACAGGUCUUUGGUCCUGGAAAUAGAAAUCUGAAGGCAACAAUAAAUAAUUUUUGCUCUGUUCAUUAUCUACUCACUUGAAUGUCGAAGAUUUUAUAUUGAAGUAUAACGUUUAUGAUACCGCUUUAAUCUUGUCAAGUAAAAAAUAAUGUUUAUUUCCAAAACGUACUCAUAUUUAAGUCUUAGCAAAUAAACCUGACUUUGCAUAUUAUAAUUUAUCAACCUAGUUUUCCACUCAAUAAUAAAGUUAAAGCAUGAUUUAGA